rnacentral:lncRNA from 1 species
CCAGCCAGGCCCACCUAGGGCAACUAAGGGGGUGCCAUAACCCACCUAGACCUGCCAAGGGGCUGCCCUUACACACCUUAACCCUUCUAGGCCCGCCUAGGGCCACCUUGACCCGUCUAGGGACGCCAAGAGGACGCCUUGACCUGUUUAGGGCCGCCAAGGGGACGUCAUGACCCGUCGAGGCGCUUCCUUUACACGCCUAGGGUUGUUUUGACCUCUAUAAAGACCGAGAAUGCGAGUCAAAUAUAGACCAUAUGUAAGGUAAAAAAUGUGAUUUUUGUCAAACACUAGUGUGGUUAUGAAUGAUUUUGCCUCAUAGGGGCCCACUCCUAAGUUUUCUCCCACUUUAAAUUUUUUUUUCCAAGAACUCAUUUUUCAUCAGAAACUGUGGGCUAUAGCACACGUUUUUUUGGCCAAAACGCAUGUUCUUAUUUUUUCACAAAAAAUUUCUCAUAUUUAGGUCCUGAUAUUUUAGCACUUCUCGAACAGACAGAACUAAAAAAUCUCCAGCCGAUUUUUUUAUAUAAUUUUUCGAAGUCGCUAUAAAGACCGAGAAUAUGAGUCAAAUAUAGACCAUAUGUAAGGGAAAAAAUGUGAUUCUUGUCCAACACUAGUGUGGUUAUGAAUGAUUUUGCCUCAUAGGUGCCCACUCCUGAGUUUUCUCCCACUUCAAAUUUUUUUGUCAAAAACUCGUUUUUCAGCAGAAACCGUAUAGCACAUGUUUUUGGGCCAAAACGCAUGUUCUUAUUUUUUCACAAAAAAUUUCUCAUAGUUAGGUCUUGAUAUUUUAGCACUUCUCGAAUUGACAGAACUCGAGCCGAUUUUUUUAUAUGAUUUUUCGAAGUCACUAUAAAGACCGAGAAUGCGAGUCAAAUAUUGACCAUAUGUAAGGGAAAAAAUGUGAUUUUUGUCAAACACUAGUGUGGUUAUGAAUGAUUUUG